AGUGAACGCUGGCGGUAGGCCUAACACAUGCAAGUCGAACGGCAGCACAGUAAGAGCUUGCUCUUACGGGUGGCGAGUGGCGGACGGGUGAGGAAUACAUCGGAAUCUACUUUUUCGUGGGGGAUAACGUAGGGAAACUUACGCUAAUACCGCAUACGACCUACGGGUGAAGGCAGGGGAUCUUCGGACCUUGCGCGAUUGAAUGAGCCGAUGUCGGAUUAGCUAGUUGGCGGGGUAAAGGCCCACCAAAGCGACGAUCCGUAGCUGGUCUGAGAGGAUGAUCAGCCACACUGGAACUGAGACACGGUCCAGACUCCUACGGGAGGCAGCAGUGGGGAAUAUUGGACAAUGGGCGCAAGCCUGAUCCAGCCAUACCGCGUGGGUGAAGAAGGCCUUCGGGUUGUAAAGCCCUUUUGUUGGGAAAGAAAAGCAGCAGGUUAAUACCCCGCUGUUCUGACGGUACCCAAAGAAUAAGCACCGGCUAACUUCGUG
rnacentral:rRNA from 1 species